rnacentral:lncRNA from 1 species
CCCCUAUUGACAAGUCAAGAGAUGUUCCGAAAACUGUAAAUAUUACCUUUUUGCACUUGGCCUAAUCACUCAUUCCAAAUCAAAAUAAGUUAAAAUACAACAUCCAAAAAUUUAUUUCACCUCUCUUCUUUCAUUUCCACCCAAAAAAAUCUAAGAAAUGAGUGAGGAAGGGAAAGAAAAAAAAUUAAGGAAAAAUACACUCUAAUUAAAAGGAACUAUAUUCGUGGACAACGAAAAGCGGGGUCAUUAAUUGUGGUCUUGGGCCUUAUCAAUUGAUUAUAGAAC